rnacentral:rRNA from 1 species
AGGCGUCGAGCGGCGGACGGGUGAGUAAUGCAUAGGAAUCUACCCAGUCGUGGGGGAUAACCUGAGGAAACUCAGGCUAAUACCGCAUACGUCCUACGGGAGAAAGCGGGGGCUCUUCGGACCUCGCGCGAUUGGAUGAGCCUAUGUCGGAUUAGCUGGUUGGUGAGGUAACGGCUCACCAAGGCGACGAUCCGUAGCUGGUCUGAGAGGAUGAUCAGCCACACCGGGACUGAGACACGGCCCGGACUCCUACGGGAGGCAGCAGUGGGGAAUAUUGGACAAUGGGCGCAAGCCUGAUCCAGCCAUGCCGCGUGUGUGAAGAAGGCUUUCGGGUUGUAAAGCACUUUCAGCGAGGAAGAAAGCGUGCCGGCCAAUACCCGGUACGGACGACAUCACUCGCAGAAGAAGCACCGGCUAACUCCGUGCCAGCAGCCGCGGUAAUACGGAGGGUGCAAGCGUUAAUCGGAAUUACUGGGCGUAAAGCGCGCGUAGGCGGCGUGUCACGCCGGGUGUGAAAGCCCCGGGCUCAACCUGGGAACGGCAUCCGGAACGGGCAGGCUAGAGUGCAGGAGAGGAAGGUAGAAUUCCCGGUGUAGCGGUGAAAUGCGUAGAGAUCGGGAGGAAUACCAGUGGCGAAGGCGGCCUUCUGGACUGACACUGACGCUGAGGUGCGAAAGCGUGGGUAGCAAACAGGAUUAGAUACCCUGGUAGUCCACGCCGUAAACGAUGUCGACUAGCCGUUGGGUCCCUUGAGGACUUAGUGGCGCAGUUAACGCGAUAAGUCGACCGCCUGGGGAGUA